rnacentral:rRNA from 1 species
AUUGAACGCUGGCGGCAGGCCUAACACAUGCAAGUCGAACGAGUGGCGGACGGGUGAGUAAUGUAUGGGAAACUGCCUGAUGGAGGGGGAUAACUACUGGAAACGGUAGCUAAUACCGCAUUGCAUCAGAUGUGCCCAGAUGGGAUUAGCUUGUGGGUGGGGUAACGGCGCACCAGGGCGACGAUCCCUAGCUGGUCUGCUAGGAUGACCAGCCACACUGGACCUGCGACACGGUCCAGACUCCUACGGGAGGCAGCAGUGGGGAAUAGUGCACCAUGGGCGCAAGCCGGAUGCAGCAAUGCCGCGUGUAUGAAGAAGGCCUUCGGUUUGUAAAGUACUUUCAGCGGGGAGUCGUUACCCGCAGAAGAAGCACCGGCUAACUCCGUGCCAGCAGCCGCGGUAAUAC